UUUAGCUGUUCUAUCUUCAGUGUCUAGCUGAUCUCCUGAUUCACCUUGAAAUAUACA
rfam:Callithrix jacchus chromosome 4, whole genome shotgun sequence